rnacentral:rRNA from 11 species
AAGUUUGCCAAUACUUGCCCUAAAGGCAUCAGAUCCCAAUCUGAACAUAGAAGCUAAGGAGCACCAGCUCUAGCUAGUUCUUGGAUGAAAGACCACCAAAGAAUCCCUGGUGCUGUGGGCUUU